GACGAACGCUGGCGGCGUGCUUAACACAUGCAAGUCGAACGGUAAGGCCCCUUCGGGGGUACACGAGUGGCGAACGGGUGAGUAACACGUGAGUAAUGUGCCCUUGACACUGGGAUAACAGCUGGAAACAGCUGCUAAUACCGGAUACGAACCUGGUGGGCAUCCACUGGGUUGGAAAGCUCCGGCGGUCAAGGAUCAACUCGCGGCCUAUCAGCUAGUUGGUGGGGUAACGGCCCACCAAGGCGACGACGGGUAGCCGGCCUGAGAGGGCGACCGGCCACAUUGGGACUGAGAUACGGCCCAAACUCCUACGGGAGGCAGCAGUGGGGAAUAUUGCACAAUGGACGAAAGUCUGAUGCAGCAACGCCGCGUGCGGGAUGACGGCCUUCGGGUUGUAAACCGCUUUCAGCAGGGACGAAGCGAAAGUGACGGUACCUGCAGAAGAAGGACCGGCCAACUACGUG
rnacentral:rRNA from 1 species